GCAUAUCAAUAAGCGGAGGAAAAGAAACCAACAGGGAUUGCCCUAGUAACGGCGAGUGAAGCGGCAACAGCUCAAAUUUGAAAUCUGGCCCUCGGGUCCGAGUUGUAAUUUGUAGAGGAUGCUUUUGGUGAGGUACCUUCCGAGUUCCCUGGAACGGGACGCCAUAGAGGGUGAGAGCCCCGUCUGGUUGGAUACCGAUCCUCUGUAAAGCUCCUUCGACGAGUCGAGUAGUUUGGGAAUGCUGCUCUAAAUGGGAGGUAUAUGUCUUCUAAAGCUAAAUAUUGGCCAGAGACCGAUAGCGCACAAGUAGAGUGAUCGAAAGAUGAAAAGCACUUUGAAAAGAGAGUUAAAAAGUACGUGAAAUUGUUGAAAGGGAAGCGCUCAUGACCAGACUUGGGCUUGGUUGAUCAUCCAGGGUUCUCCCUGGUGCACUCUUCCAGCUCAGGCCAGCAUCAGUUCGCCGCGGGGGAUAAAGGCUUUGGGAAUGUGGCUCCUCCGGGAGUGUUAUAGCCCACUGCGUAAUACCCUGUAGUGGACUGAGGUUCGCGCAUCUGCAAGGAUGCUGGCGUAAUGGUCAUCAGCGACCCGUCUUGAAACACGGACC
rnacentral:rRNA from 2 species